ensembl:snoRNA SNORD63 Small nucleolar RNA SNORD63
GUGCUAUGAUGGAAUGUCAACACAUCAUUCUGAAGAAUUGUGUAGAGACCUGUAACUGAGCACA